rnacentral:rRNA from 1 species
CCUACGGGUGGCAGCAGUCGAGAAUCAUUCACAAUGGGGGAAACCCUGAUGGUGCGACGCCGCGUGGGGGACUGAAGGUCUUCGGAUUGUAAACUCCUGUCAUGUGGGAGCAAAUUAAAAAGAUAGUACCACAAGAGGAAGAGACGGCUAACUCUGUGCCAGCAGCCGCGGUAAUACAGCGGUCUCAAGCGUUGGUCGGAACCACUGGGCGUAAAGCGUGCGUAGGCUGGUUCGUAAGGCGUGUGUGAAAGGCGGGGGGUAAACCCGCGGACGGCACAUGAUACUGGGGGACUAGAGAAAUGAAGGGGGAAGCGGAAUGCGCAGUGUAGCAGUGAAAUGCGUAGAUAUCG